AGUCGAAACCAGGGAGAGUUUCCCUGGUCUGCCGGGGAUGACCGUCCGGCACUGAUGAGACAGGUCUAC
rnacentral:hammerhead_ribozyme from 2 species